ensembl:lncRNA
UUAUAGCCGUGCAUCGAAAGUUUGAAAAAGUAGUUGGUUUGAAAACGGAGGAGUCGCUCUGCCGUAGCGUGCUUGCUAGCAGCAUCACACUGGCAGGCGCGUGUGUCUCCUCUGCACGGUCCAGGGCCUCCAUGGUGUGGAGGGGCAGCUCCAAGGGCUCCAAGGAGGCCAGUCCCACAGACACAGUCUGUCCACACUUGCAGGAGUGGACGUAUUGCCUGAAUUCCUCCCGCAGGUCCUUCACCUCCUUGGACAACUCCGUCACCGCAGUCAGCAGUUUCUGCAUAGCCACAUCUAUUGACAAAGAAAAUAAUAACAUUUGAAUGUAAAAGCUGACGCCCUUUUACUUAAAAAUUUCAGAAAGUGUUGAACAACUUUUGAAGAGUUAUAUAUAUUUAAGCAAUGCCAUUGGUUUAAGCUAAUUGUUGAUAGAUGGUACAUCCUUCAAUGAUUCAAAGAAUUGAGGAAACAUUUACACAUGAAUGAAAGCCUAGAAAUAGCCUUAGAACAUAACAUUCCUGUACUUGCCUUUUAAUGCCAUUCUGGCAGUGCCUGGAGAAUCUGUAACAAGUAUGAAGAGAGAAAUUAAACCAUUUGACUGGAUAUACUGCAGUUGUUUUGGAUGUUUGAAUUGACAUGAAUUACUUCAAACAUACCUUCAGGAGAUGGCCUCUGGAAUUGAGGCAUUGGACCGGGUGGAGGGUAGGCCAAUUCAUCUCCUGGGAACGCUAUUGGGA